UAGGUAAUCUACCCCAGAAUCUGGAAUAACCUGCCGAAAGGCGGGCUAAUACUGGAUAGAGCGACGGAAUCCGUAAUUGGGUUUUUCGGGAAAGGGAGCUCGCAAGAGCCUUCGUUCUGGGAUGAGCCUGCGUCUCAUUAGCUAGUUGGUGGGGUAAAGGCCCACCAAGGCUUGGAUGGGUAGCUGGUCUGAGAGGAUGAUCAGCCACACUGGAACUGAAACACGGUCCAGACUCCUACGGGAGGCAGCAGUGGGGAAUCUUGCGCAAUGGACGAAAGUCUGACGCAGCCACGCCGCGUGAGUGAAGAAGGCCUUCGGGUUGUAGAGCUCUGUCGAGCGGGACGAAAAUCUUUGGUGUUAACAGCGCCAGAGACUGACGGUACCGCUAAAGGAAGCACCGGCUAACUUCGUGCCAGCAGCCGCGGUAAUACGAGGGGUGCAAGCGUUGCUCGGAAUUAUUGGGCGUAAAGGGUAGGUAGGUGGUCUCAUUUGUCUGGGGUGAAAGCCUUGAGCUUAACUCAAGAAGUGCCCC
rnacentral:rRNA from 1 species